UACGUAGGGCGCAAGCGUUAUCCGGAAUUAUUGGGCGUAAAGAGCUCGUAGGCGGUGUGUCACGUCGUUCGUGAAAACCUGCAGCUUAACUGUGGGCGUGCGGUCGAUACGGGCAUCACUGGAGUUCGGCAGGGGAGACUGGAAUUCCUGGUGUAGCGGUGAAAUGCGCAGAUAUCAGGAGGAACACCGGUGGCGAAGGCGGGUCUCUGGGCCGAUACUGACGCUGAGGAGCGAAAGCUAGGGGAGCAAACAGG
rnacentral:rRNA from 1 species